AUACUUACCUUCUUGACACUGAGGCGCUCACCAAUGCUUCCAGUGGCGACACGAAACCUCCAUUGCACAGCGGGGCGUUGAGUGUCGCUGACUUUCCUUCGGGGACGUCAUCGGGGGAAUUUUUGAUAGCAAACCGGACGAGAUCCAAGACUUUC
rnacentral:snRNA from 1 species